GGCGAGCGCGCGCCCUGGCGUGAGGGGCUGGGCCCGGCCUCACCCUGAGGGACACGCAGCCCUGAGGGGCGAGGGGACGCGGGCUAUCACAGGCCAAAGGGUGGAGGCGUCGUGAGGGAGAACCAGCCCUGGUCGGUGAAGGGGACAUACCAUCCCGAAGCACAACGGAUGAGUGGAACACGGGACAGCGCCUCGAGGAGGGCUCAGCGCUGACGAGCGGAGGGAGAUUGAGGAGGCGAGAAUACUGAGAUGCCCCACAAUAUUGCAGGUGCUUCCGAGAUACUGAAUUAGUGCAGCUGGAGACACCACAGACUUUUCUCACCUUCAUCCUCCCACCAGGGAAGGAUAUGUUCUUGACACAAGGAGGCUGGCAGGCCUUUCAGAAGUUACUCAGUUGUCUCAGCCAAGGAUUUGGAGCCAAGAUAUGAAGGAAAUGCUUUAACCAGAUGUGUGCCCAUGCCUGUGACACUGAACUUUCAGAUGCUGGUAUUUAACAAGAUUGCCAUCUCCCCUGCCUCCCAGCAGAAAGGGAAGACUGAAGCUAUAGAGCAUGGAAUCCAGCCCUUCUUCUAGCUACCCAAGGGCAGGAAAAGCAUCUACAGACUGAUCUUCUACAGCGGGUCUAGAGCACUGGAACUUCCAGUUGCAUAUGUUUUCAGGGUACAAGCCACCUCAGGAAAGCUGCUUUUCAAAAGCAUAAAAGACACAUUAUAGGCCUUUGCUCUACAGGACCAUACUUCACAUGUGAAGGACUCGGAAAAGGCAAGCCACCAAGAAAUCUCAGCACAUCUGAGCCUGGCAAAUGAGAAGAGGCCAGAAAGCCACUAUUGCUUGUAAAAGGCCUAACAGACUCCAAGUCUUGCAAACUGCCUGUAUUGCAUCCAAAUCUCUCCAAACUGAAGAUGACCUAAUGGGAAAGCACAGUUUACUCACUUUCAGAAUUCUUAAUUUUUUUGGCUGCUUUUCCUCAGCCCCUACUUCUUAUUUUGACUGUUUUAUUCCUCUGUCUUCUUCACUUGAGACUUCAAGCCUUAUUUAAACUCAGCUCACAGACUGCAGGGAGGUCACUCUAUGUGUGUUUCCAAAAUCCACCUCUUCCCAGCAAGGCUCCCAUCCUGCUGGCUUUGUCCUGCAGCCCUGCACAGCAGUGGUCCAGGGCUGCAGAUACCUCGGGCACAUUUGGCCAGCCCUCCCUGACAGACAGCUGCUCAGCCUGGGGGAUUACAGCCCCACGCAUGUUAUGAAAGGCAGCCCAGCAAGGUCAUGGGGUAUUGAAAACUUUGCUCCAGUCCAAAGCACAGGAUCUUCCUCCUUUCCUUCCCUACACACUGUUCUUUUCAAGGUCAAGGAUUUCCUGGCAGUCCUCAAAGUACACAAAUUAUAGGCUUUUGUCAUGAAUUAAGACUUAAAACUUCUCUUAAUUUUAAAAAUGUAGAAAGGGUGGAACAAGGCAGGGAGGAAGGUACCUCUGCCUAAGAUUUGGUUUUGAAAAGUAGAUUGACAGCCUAUGUAUGUGCUUUACCCUGUAAUCUGAAAGCUCCUCAGGACAAGACCCUUAAAAGUAUUUUAUGCUGAACCAUAUACACAUCCCAGAGCAAGAGAACCAGCAGCUCCCUGCAUCCGUUCCAGUCUGCUCAGCUUCUCCUAAAUCAACACUGCCAGAAGGCAAGACAGCACUAUAACAAAUUAGCACCACUCACAAUUUGUUGAAGUUGCUGUUGCAUUGUUUGUUUAUUUAAAACACGCGCAAGCAAACACACACACACAAACCUCCCGAGCCUGCUCUCUACUGCCAUCCCCCAAACUCCAGAUCUGGAGUCUCAGAGAGGCGAGCAAAGGCUGUGGAUUAAACCCAUGCAGAGCAACAGCCACUGUGCUGGGACUCUGCUUGGGUUUUGCUCUUUCACUACAAGCAAAACCAAAGAAUGCCCACAUUAUUACAGCCUGGAACAUCAUAUUGUAGAAAUCCUUAUAUUGGCACUUGACUAGGGAAGUGUUGUUAAGAAAAAGAAAGAGCCACAGGCUUGAAAGGACCCACUGCUAAUAAAACUCUUAGUGCUAAUGCUAUUUAUGAACAUCCAAGGGAUAAUCUGCACCCUUUAUCAGCCCACAAGAUUAUAAGAUCUUUAAAAUAGGAAACAUGUCUUACUUCAUAAAGCGCUGUAUAAGUUUACAAAGCACAAUAUUAGUGGUAAUAAAUAAUUGUCAAAGUUGAGCACAGAAGUGGCUGUAAAACCUGAAGCAUCAUCACUGUUCCCAUUUCAUUCUGAGCUCUGGGUAGUAGCCCUGUACAGUUACUGGUUAUGAGGACUUGGUCUCUUAUGCACCAAUCUUGUUUUAUUUUAAGAGAUCAUUUGGGAAAUGUGCUAUGCUUAUAUUCACAGUGAAGAAAGUAAUGUCUGAUCACGAGAUGAUCACGACAAGGGUGAUUUUAAAGAGCUGUAGUAGAUUCUUAUCCUUCCACCAAACAGUUUAGUUUGCCAGCCUGUGUCAGUGUGCCAGCAAUGAUUCCUCUACACAGCAUUUCUAUCUGUGGGCAAUUAUCACACACAGAGUGCCCUACUAUCAGAGCAGCUGCUCACCAGUUGCAUCAUGUAGCCUAUAGAGACAGCUUCCCUUUUAUUUCUCUUGGUUUAUGUGACAAUAAAACUGGGCUGCUGCACACAUAGUGUAGAGGACAGUAAAGUCAGCAUCAUCCACUCAAACCCUUACAUGCUUUCAUUCGAGUUUGGUUUUUUUUUUCAUUUUAGAGAAGUUUUUUCUCUCUUAUGAAUGCUCUAAAUGUUUUUAUUUCUGGCUGCUGACAGAUAAUUGCAUCAUCCAAAGCAUCUCUGCUCACCUGGGUUGAGCAUGGCUUUGGUUUCUGGACAGGUGAACGCCACAGAUACCUCAGCUAUCUCCACCAGUUUAACAACAAUUAAGGAAAUGAAGAUAUUUUCUAUUCAGAUUAAGACCUUUGCAUGGAAUUCUGUUGGUGCUAAGCCAUUAUAAUUUUAUUCUUCAGAUAAUCCAUGAAAUGUUUAAAUACUCAAGCUUAAGUAUUUCAAAAGCUACUCACUUCACAUUUGUCACCUAAGGAAAUUACUAAGCAAUGUGUGCAUUUUUUUCCCUGCCAGGAAAAAAAUGCCUUAAAGAGCAGAGCAGAAUGCAUCACCCUCCUUCUUUCAGCAUUAGUAAAACCAUCUCAUUGGUAAUUAUUGUCCUCAAGGUGGGUGUGGAGGAGUGAAAAUCUGUAACAGAUUCUAUUUUUAGAAGAUAACCUUGGGAAAAACAGGAGGUACCAGAGAAACAGGCAUGAGGGGUGAAGUUAUGACAGUACUGAAACUAGCAGGAGACACAGGUGUACCAGGUGUCUGUGCCAGAGAGCUUUGAGAAUGCAAAUGUGGCCACACCUCCUGCAAGAUUUAGGCUUGGCUGGCAGGUUUCAGAAGCACUCAGAAUUCACAGAGACAAUUGACAUAUUUAAAAGUUUGAGCAACAGUUAAA